rnacentral:tRNA from 1 species
GACACUGUAGCUCAGCAGUAGAGCACUUGCCUGACACACAUGAGGCACUGGGUUCAAUCCUCGGCAUCA